rnacentral:tRNA from 1 species
GGAGAUAUAGCUCAGUGACAUAAGCACCUGCCUGGCAAGCACAAGGUCCUGAGUUCGAUUCCCAGUAUCCCUC